UGACUCGUUCAUACUACAGUGGCCACACCAGAUCCCAUCAGAACUCUGAAGUUAAGCACUGUAAGGCUUGGCUAGUACUGAGGUGG
rnacentral:rRNA from 1 species